rnacentral:rRNA from 1 species
UACGUAGGGUGCGAGCGUUAAUCGGAAUUACUGGGCGUAAAGCGUGCGCAGGCGGUUUUGUAAGCCAGAUGUGAAAUCCCCGGGCUUAACCUGGGAAUGGCAUUUGGGACUGCAAGGCUGGAGUACGGCAGAGGAGACUGGAAUUCCUGGUGUAGCAGUGAAAUGCGUAGAGAUCAGGAGGAAUACCGAUGGCGAAGGCAGGUCUCUGGGCCGACCCUGACGCUGAGGCGCGAAGGCGUGGGGAGCGAACGGG